rnacentral:lncRNA from 1 species
AUUAUUAGAUUAAUAUGGUAAUCAUUAUUAUAAUAUAUUAUAUCAUCGGUGCUAUUAAUUAAGAAAGCAAGAUAGUAUGAUAAUUACAUGAUUUGAUAUUAUAUUAUGAUAUUAAUUAUAUUAUAUAAUAUAAUAUACUAUAUGAUAGUAUUGUGUUAUGCUAUAUUGUAUUAUAUUGUAUUGUAUUAUGUUAGUUGUUUAUUAUUUAUCUUAUAAGAAAAUGUUAUAUUAUCUUAUAUUAAGUUAUCUAUUAUCUUAUAGUGUUAUGUUUGUUGUAUUAAAUAUUAUAUUAUAAUAUUAUGAUAUAAUAUGAUAUAAUAAAGUAUAAUAUUAUUAUAUUAUAUUAUAUUUCAUUAUAGUAUAUUAUGUUACAUAUUUUGUUAUAAUUUUUUUAUAACAUAUGAUAGUAUAACAAAAUAUUAUACUAUAAUUAAUUAUAUUAUUAUAUCAUAUAUAUAUAUAUAAUGUGCUAUAUUAUGUUAUAUGCUAUUUUAUCUUAUAGUAUGAUAUAAUAUUAUCUUAUAAUAUAACAUUAUAGGAUAAUAUUAUAUUUUCCAUUGUAUAUUAUUAUAAUAUAAUAUGAUAUGUUAUAUUAUAUUAUUAUAAUUAUGUAAUAUGAUAAUAUAAUAAUGAUAUAAUAGUAUCAAUGGAGGUAAUCUUACCAUGUUAGUUGCAAGAUGAUUGCACUCUUUUCGGAUUAAAUAACCAAACGCAAAAAUUGUAGAUGUAGUUUCCAGAUGUAAGCAAACCAAGCAGAUACUUGCAAAUACAGAUGCAGCAUUUCUACUUACAACUGUAUCUAAAUGCAGAAAAUCAAGCAGCUCCGAAGUUCACACCACUACACAGAUUGUCAUAAGGUAACCAUUCAGCCAAAGUUGCAAGAAAGUAUAUUCGAAUUUCUAAGUUCAUCUAAAAGAUCAUGGUAAGUGUACGUCGCAUAUUGGAUGAUAAAAGUCUUAAUAUGCAGUAGUAUGCAUUUGAGUUCUAUUAGGGCUAUAAGUUUUGGACAUGGAUAUCGCCUUUCCUGGUCACCUAAAAAAGGUUGGCUUAUACUUGUGUAUAUAGUUAUAAAAAGAUAAAUGUAUGAAUUCAUGAAUUACUAAGUAACAUGCUAAAUGUACUUGUUGUUUUAACAAAACUAGCAACCAGGUACAUGCAACACAUGUUU